AAAACAAAAAAACUUUAAGAUAAUAAACUAAUAUUAAUCCUAAAAAACUACUAAAGGAAAGGGUGAAAGAAAAAAUUAUUAGUUUGUGCUGUUCUCAUGGUAAUAGUGGUUUUUGUAUUGUACGAUCAUGUGUUACAUUUUAUGCAUUAUUAUGUGGAUGAAUGAAUAAGUUAAUUACAUCGCAUGUCAUAGGGUGAAUAUUACAUUAAAAAAUUCUUCAUUCUUGUUAUUCGUCAAAUUAAUGGUUGUGCAUUUGUAUGAGGACCUAGAUCUGUUGAGGAUGCAGAUCUUCACUCGUUGAAGGCCAUCCCUAUCUAUCUACUACUACUCUUUGGAAAAUAAUUGACUACAGAUGAUUGUACAAAAAAAUAAUUAAUAUUAUCUGAACAGCUCACCAUGCAUGUUCAGUAAAGUAAAGCGGAUUUGUUUAUUCAUUGUCUAGUUCAAACUUGGGGAGCAUUUUCUCAUUCUUGCGGUGAUCAGAAUAAUGUGAUUUAAGUCCAGUUAAACAUGCUUAAUUAUGCAUUUAAGCAUCUUUUAUUUAUUUGCUUUCAUUAUUUUUUCCUUCUUAAUGUGUUGUUAUUGUUUGGAACAACAAGUAAGACAAAUCUAGCCAGUUAGCAUUCACCGCAUCACCGCAUAAUGAAAGAUUAUUCAUAUUUGGAAAUGAAUAAUUAAUUAAAAAACUGUAUUAUUAAGGCAAAUGGGCACUUAAUAUUUGUAUCUUAAACCUUCCGAGUCGGAUAUUCGAGUAAAUUAGUUAAAAAGCUAUGCAAAAUGUGAAUGUGACAGACUACGUAGUAAAGUUUGGGUUAAGAGAGAGAGAGAGAGAGAGAGAGAGUAUUUCGCAGCCGGCUGGUCCCUAUGUACGGGAAGAAUCAUAGAAAGUUAGGUAACUACACACAUUUUUCAAAGAUGUCGAUCAUGAAAAAUAUUUGAUAACAAAUUCAGGGAGGACAUACUGCUUAAAUUAUUAACCUAGAAAUAAAGUUCGAUCUCUUGCUUUAACUUUUCUGCUACGUAGCUCUUAUUGCAUUAAACAAAGCCUUAUUAAAGUAAAGAUGGUCACACCCUUAGCCCUUUAGGUGAUACGUUCAGGGAAAUGGUUAAUGUUUUUACAAGCUCUUGUUUAUUUUUAUUUUUUAAUAUUUUCAGAUAUUUUUACAAUCUUUUACUGCGCAGUAAUAGAGUGUAAAAAUCAUAUCUAUGUAUUUAUUUAUUAUUAACUAUGUUUACAAUGAACCUUCUAUUCCAUGAAACAAGAUAUAAAAAUAAAAAUAAAAAGGAGAAGGGCAUAAAUUAACAAAAUUCGGUCAAAGGCCGCAUUGGUCCAAACAUUAAUUGAUAAUCUAUGACAAAUAGUCUGGCCCCAUUAGCAUUAUUUUAACAGUAAUAUUGUUUUUUUACUAAGAUAAUUAAUAAUUGCCAAGUGAAAAUUUGGCAUGAGUACCAUUGUGAAGGGUAAAAACCAAAGCUAUAUAAAGGGUGAGGAGGCUUAGCUUCAGAGGCAGACAACCAAAAACCCAUUCUUAACGAAGGAUGGGAAAAAUGGUGCCUUCACAAGUGACCUCUCUUGUGGUCACUCUCCUAGUGGCAAUAGUCUCUCUCACAUUGCCUUCAGAAACUUCAGCUAACUACCCUUACACCUCUCCACCACCACCGGCCUCUCCUCCCUACCAUUACAAGUCACCACCGCCUCCUUCUCCUUCUCCUCCAGUGCACUACUCACCACCUAAGCAUCCCUACCACCCUAAGUCACCACCACCUCCUGUGUACGCACCACCUAAGCAUCCCUACCACCCUAAGUCACCACCACCUCCUGUGUACCCACCACCUAAGCAUCCCUACCACCCCAAGUCACCACCACCAUCACCAAAGCCUUACCACUACAAAUCCCCACCACCACCUCCUGCUCCAGUGCACUCACCACCCCCACCUAAGGAGCCAUACCACUACAAGUCCCCACCACCACCACCCAAGAAGCCCUACCACUACAAAUCUCCCCCACCACCUCCUCCUCCAGUUCACUCACCACCACCACCCAAGGAGCCUUACCACUACAAAUCUCCACCACCACCACCCAAGAAACCUUACUAUUACAAGUCUCCUCCACCACCACCAAAGAAGCCUUACCACUACAUGUCUCCUCCCCCACCGGUGUACUCACCACCUCCACCAGUGCACUCACACCCACCACCAAAAAAGCCUUACCAUUACAAAUCUCCUCCCCCGCCAGAAUAUUCACCAGCUCCACCAGUGCACUCAACCCCACCACCAAAGAAGCCCUACCAUUACAAAUCCCCACCACCACCACCACCACACAAGAAGCCUUAUUACCCUGUUCACUCACCACCUCCACCUAAGAAGCCUUACCACUACAAAUCCCCACCACCACCUUCUCCUACUCCUCCUAAAUACUCACCACCUAAGCACCCCUACCACUACAAGUCUCCACCACCACCACCAAAGAAGCCUUACCAUUACAAGUCCCCACCACCUCCUUCUCCUACUCCCCCUAAAUACUCACCACCUAAGCACCCCUACCACUACAAGUCACCACCACCACCACCCCAAGAAGCCUUACCACUACAAGUCUCCACCACCACCACCUCCUCCAGUUCCCACACCAUCUCCACCCAAGAAACCUUACCACUACAAGUCUCCCCCACCACCCCCUCCAGUCUACAAGUCUCCUCCACCACCAGUUUACUCACCACCACCACCACCUAAGAAACCUUACAAGCCACCAACUCCUCCAGCAGUUCACCCACCACACGGUUACAUCUAUUCCUCACCCCCACCUCCUCACCACUACUAGAUAUUGAAAGUUUAAUUGCAUCAAGCUGGUAAGCUUCUCCAUUCUAUGCUAUUAUUCAUUAAUUAGUUAGUACUACUGUUGUCAAUUUGGAAAUCACCAUACAACCAAAUGCACACUCUGACGAAAUAACAUAUAAAUUCUAAUUGAAUAGUCUUUAUUUCCAUUUUUGGCUAAUAAUCCUUAUUAGCAUAUGGAUAAUGUAUUUCCAACAUAUCGUUAUUAACUUAUUACUCAAUUAAUAUUUCUUUUUCUUUAAAUUCAGUAGCCGUGUGUAACAAAUAGACCAAUGGCAGAGACCCAACAAAUAACAAUAAUAUGUCUUUGCAGGUAAGGGAAGAAGAAAGGUCAGAAUAAAGAGGGGCUGUUGAAGUCGAACAGCGCGCCUUAUUACCACACAAAGAAGAAGAGAGAGAAAAAAACGAGUCUCCACGCAG
rnacentral:lncRNA from 1 species